CAGCCGCCACGGGAAUACAGAGGGUGCAAGCGUUAAUCGGAAUUACUGGGCGUAAAGCGCGCGUAGGUGGUUUGUUAAGUUGGAUGUGAAAUCCCCGGGCUCAACCUGGGAACUGCAUUCAAAACUGACUGACUAGAGUAUGGUAGAGGGUGGUGGAAUUUCCUGUGUAGCGGUGAAGUGCGUAGAUAUAGGAAGGAACACCAGUGGCGAAGGCGACCACCUGGACUAAUGCUGACACUGAGGUGCGAAAGCGUGGGGAGCAAACAGGAUUAGAUACCCCGGUAGUCCCUGUCUCUUAUAC
rnacentral:rRNA from 1 species